AAAAAAUCCAACAGCUGGUUAGUUUCUACAUUAAGCAUAGAACAUGGCGGAGUUAUCUUAUAUAGUGUUGUUGUUAUAUUUUAUGAUAGAGUUUGUCUUGGCGGACUACUGCACCAAAACUGAAUGGUCCUUCCUUUAUUACGGGUACAGA
rnacentral:sRNA from 1 species